rnacentral:SRP_RNA from 1 species
GCCGGGCAUGUUGGCACGUGCCUGUAGUCCCAGCUACUCAGGAGGCUGAGGCAGGAGAAUCGUUUGAACCCAGGAGGCAGAGGUUGCAGUGAGCCGAGAUUGAGCCACUGUACUCCAGCCUGGGUGACAGAGCGAGACUCUGUCUCAA